AAGGGACCUAGCGUAGUUCGGAAUUACUGGGCUUAAAGAGUUCGUAGGUGGUUGAAAAAGUUGGUGGUGAAAUCCCAGAGCUUAACUCUGGAACUGCCAUCAAAACUUUUCAGCUAGAGUAUGAUAGAGGAAAGCAGAAUUUCUAGUGUAGAGGUGAAAUUCGUAGAUAUUAGAAAGAAUACCAAUUGCGAAGGCAGCUUUCUGGAUCAUUACUGACACUGAGGAACGAAAGCAUGGGUAGCGAAGAGGAUUAGAUACCCUCGUAGUCCAUGCCGUAAACGAUGUGUGUUAGACGUUGGAAAUUUAUUUUCAGUGUCGCAGGGAAACCGAUAAACACACCGCCUGGGGAGUACGACCGCAAGGUUAAAACUCAAAUGAAUUGACGGGGACCCGCACAAGUAGUGGAGCAUGUGGUUUAAAUCGAAGAUACGCGCAGAACCUUACCAACACUUGACAUGUUCGUCGCGACUCUAAGAGAUUAGAGUUUUCGGUUCGGCCGGACGAAACACAGGUGCUGCAUGGCUGUCGUCAGCUCGUGUCGUGAGAUGUUGGGUUAAGUCCCGCAACGAGCGCAACCCUCACUUUUAGUUGCCAUCAUUAAGUUGGGCACUCUGAAAGAACUGCCAGUGAUAAGCUGGAGGAAGGUGGGGAUGACGUCAAGUCCUCAUGGCCCUUACGUGUUGGGCUACACACGUGCUACAAUGGCAUCUACAACAGGAAGCAAAACGGCAACGUUAAGCAAAUCCCGAAAAGAUGCCUCAGUUCGGAUUGCACUCUGCAACUCGAGUGCAUGAAGCUGGAAUUACUAGUAAUCGUGGAUCAGCGUGCCACGGUGAAUGCGUUCCCGGGUCUUGUACACACCGCCCGUCACACCAUGGGAGUUGGUUCUACCUUAAGGCGAGGUUUUAAACCCUUGACCACGGUAUAGUCAGCGACUGGGGUGAAGUCGUAACAAGGUAGCCGUAGGGGAACCUGCGGCUGGAUUACCUCCUUUCUAAGGAUGAGUGAAAGAGAAAAAUUUCACUCUAAAUAAUAUACAUCGGUAAUGUUGACCGUCCUCAUUUCUCUUCUUAAAGUAAUGUUUCCUUCUUGUAGGGCCGGUAGCUCAGUUGGUUAGAGCACACCCUUGAUAAGGGUGGGGUCGAAAGUUCGAGUCUUUCUCGGCCCACUAAAAACCUAAAUGGGGGGAUUAGCUCAUCUGGGAGAGCGCCUGAUUUGCAUUCAGGAGGUAGCAGGUUCGAUCCCUGUAUCCUCCACCAGGAAACAUUUAGUUAUUAAAACUGUAAAUAAAAAUAAUUUAUAUCAAUAUCUAUAUCCGAACAUUAAAAAUUAUUAUUUAAUGUUCAAAAUAAAAAUUUGAUCACAACAUAGAUAAAUUUUUUUUAAAAAGAAUUUUUUUCUGUGCAUAAAUCAAGCGUUUAAGGGCGUGUAGUGGAUGCCUUGGCACUGAAAGCCGAUGAAGGACGUGAUAUACUGCGAUAAGCUUCGGGGAGCUGUAUGUAAGCUUUGAUCCGAAAAUUU
rnacentral:sRNA from 1 species